rnacentral:rRNA from 1 species
GAUGAACGCUGGCGGCGUGCUUAACACAUGCCAGUCGAACGGAAAGGCCUCUGCUUGCAGGGGUACUCGAGUGGCGAACGGGUGAGUAACACGUGGGUGAUCUGCCCUGCACUUCGGGAUAAGCCUGGGAAACUGGGUCUAAUACCGGAUAGGACAAUGGUUUGGAUGCUGUUGUGGAAAGUUUUUCGGUGUGGGAUGAGCUCGCGGCCUAUCAGCUUGUUGGUGGGGUAAUGGCCUACCAAGGCGUCGACGGGUAGCCGGCCUGAGAGGGUGUACGGCCACAUUGGGACUGAGAUACGGCCCAGACUCCUACGGGAGGCAGCAGUGGGGAAUAUUGCACAAUGGGCGCAAGCCUGAUGCAGCGACGCCGCGUGGGGGAUGACGGCCUUCGGGUUGUAAACUCCUUUCGCUAGGGACAAAGCGUUUUUGUGACGGUACCUGGAGAAGAAGCACCGGCUAACUACGUG